CUGUGAGGAAAUGAUACAUAGUUUAAGUUCUGAAGAGUGAGCAAACAUUAGUCAAGUAUGAGGAUGGGGAAAAGGGAGCAUUCUAGAUAAAGAGAAUGGUUUGUGGGAAGGCCCAGAAAUAUGAAAAAGCACGUCAAGGUCAAGAAACUGAAAAGCCACAGUGGCUGGAGCUUGGAGAGUGAGGAAGUUACCGGUUGUGAGAUUUUUUUUUUUAACUCUCUGGCUGCUCUGGAGUAGAGGGAGCAAGAGAGGACACAGGGACCCCUGGAUGAGGCCAUUACAGUGAUCCAAGUGAAAGAUAAUGGUGGCCUGGGUGAUGGUUGUGACAUCAGGCUUGGGGCAUAGUAGGCAAAUUCCAGAAAUGUUACAGGAGGUAGAAUUGAUAAGAAUUGCUGCUUGGUUGGUUAUGGGAAACAGGAAGUUUUCAAGAAUGACUCCCACAUUUCUGACUAAAUGGUGGUGUUACUCACUGAACUAGACGACUUGGCGAGAAAGUUUAGGAGGGAAGGACAUGAGUUCUGUUUCACCAGAGUGGAUUUCAGGGUACCUGUGAGACAUCCCAGAUGUCAAGUAGGUAGUGGGUUAUAAAGAUCUGGAAAUGGCAGGACAGGUUUCUAUAAGGUGGGUGGAACUUGGCAGCAGCAGCUUCUGGCAAUACUCAUUGCCAGGCAGGUGAAAUCAUCUUAAUUCCAGGGAGGAGCAGUCAGUUAGUUGCUAUGUGGGGCUACUGGGAAGUCCCUAGCCCGUUAGAGAGAGAGAGAGAGAUGUGCGUAGAAGCACAUUUACCGAGUGCCAGUCAUUGUGUCAUGCAUGACCUUAUAUACUCCUCUAAGGAAGGUGUAUUUUCAUGGCUUGUGAAUGAGGAAACUGAGGCUAAAGAGCAUUAAAUUAUCUGCCCAAGGCCAUUCAACUAAUAAGUAGUGCAGUGGAGCAUAUCAGUCCUGGUCUCAACCAGAAACAGGUGGCACACUUGAAAGACGGUAAUUCAAGGAGGGAUUGUUAGUUUGUUUUUAAAAAGGGUAAUCAAACGAGGAUGUAGAGUCGGGGGCCACGAGGAACAGUGCAGUACACUGAGGCUAGGAGCAGCUGAGCUAUUACUACCCCUAGGAUCAAGGUAUCAAGAGAAAAGAGAGGCUCCCAGACUCCACAAGGAGAAAGUUGUCUGUGUAGAAGCUGCCUUGAAAGGAGCAGUGAUCUUCAGCAGAGGGACACGGUCAGCCUGGGGCAACCUCACUCAACUCUCUUUCUCUCCCUCUUAUCUUUUAUCAGCACUCCCAUUGGCCAAACCCAAUAGGAAGCCACAGGGCAGAGAGCUGGGUGGAAAAGGGUGGAGAGUGUGAUCAACAGGGAGCAAAUAGAAAAUAGCAGGCACAUUGGGACUUUCAUUAGGGUCUUCCUGACUCCAAAACCCAUGCUAUUAAACCCUGGGGCUCCCAGGGUCAGAGCAAGAAGGGGUUGCUCAGGGUAAGUCCCUGACGUGAUGGAGUACACAUGGAAACCGGAGCAGAAGCCCAGCCAAGCUUGCAAGUCCUGGACACCAGACUCUCUAGGGAAAGGCUCACUUGGCAAGGAGCCAACUACUCAUAAGGGAUUGAGGUCUCAGUUCAACAUAGUCUGUGAGGAAGUGAAUCCUGCCAACAACCAGUUGAGUAAGCUUAGAAGUAAAUCCUCCCUCGUUGAGUCUUCAAGUGAGAUGACAUCCCCAGCUGACACUUUGACUGCCGCCUUCUGAGAGACCCUGAAGCAGAAGACCCAGCUAAAGUGUGCCCGUAGAACCCGUAGAAGCUGACCCAUCGAAAUUGUGAGAGAAUAAAUGUG
ensembl:lncRNA